rnacentral:rRNA from 1 species
UACAGAGGUCUCAAGCGUUGUUCGGAUUCAUUGGGCGUAAAGGGUGCGUAGGCGGUCCAGCAAGUCGGGUGUGAAAGCCCUCGGCUUAACCGAGGAAGUGCAUUCGAAACUACUGGACUUGAAUACUGGAGAGGAUCGCGGAAUUCCCGGUGUAGAGGUGAAAUUCGUAGAUAUCGGGAGGAACACCAGUGGCGAAGGCGGCGAUCUGGACAGAUAUUGACGCUGAGGUGCGAAAGCGUGGGGAGCAAACAGG